UUAAGUUAGAAAGGGCGCACGGUGGAUGCCUUGGCACUAGGAGCCGAAGAAGGACGGGACUAACACCGAUAUGCUUUGGGGAGCUGUACGUAAGCGUUGAUCCAGAGAUUUCCGAAUGGGGGAACCCACUAUCUUUAGUCGGAUAGUAUCCUUACGUGAAUACAUAGCGUGAGGAAGGCAGACCCAGGGAACUGAAACAUCUAAGUACCUGGAGGAAGAGAAAGAAAAAUCGAUUUCCUGAGUAGCGGCGAGCGAAACGGAAAGAGCCCAAACCAAGAAGCUUGCUUCUUGGGGUUGUAGGACACUCUAUACGGAGUUACAAAAGAAAGUUAUAAAUGAAGCGGUCUGGAAAGGCCCGCCAAAGACGGUAACAGCCCGGUAGUUGAAAUGGCUUUCCCUCCAGAGUGGAUCCUGAGUACGGCGGAACACGUGAAAUUCCGUCGGAAUCCGGGAGGACCAUCUCCCAAGGCUAAAUACUCCCUAGUGACCGAUAGUGAACCAGUACCGUGAGGGAAAGGUGAAAAGCACCCCGGAAGGGGAGUGAAACAGUUCCUGAAACCGUGUGCCUACAAGUAGUUAGAGCCCGUUAAUGGGUGAUAGCGUGCCUUUUGUAGAAUGAACCGGCGAGUUACGAUUUGUUGCAAGGUUAAGCGGAAAAAGCGGAGCCGUAGCGAAAGCGAGUCUGAAUAGGGCGCAUAAGUAACAGGUCGUAGACCCGAAACCAGGUGAUCUACCCAUGUCCAGGAUGAAGGUAAGGUAAUACUUACUGGAGGUCCGAACCCACGCACGUUGAAAAGUGCGGGGAUGAGGUGUGGGUAGCGGAGAAAUUCCAAUCGAACUUGGAGAUAGCUGGUUCUCUCCGAAAUAGCUUUAGGGCUAGCCUCGAGGUAAAGAGUCAUGGAGGUAGAGCACUGUUUGGACUAGGGGCCCUUCUCGGGUUACCGAAUUCAGAUAAACUCCGAAUGCCAUGUACUUAUACUCGGGAGUCAGACUGCGAGUGAUAAGAUCCGUAGUCGAAAGGGAAACAGCCCAGACCACCAGUUAAGGUCCCCAAAUAUAUGUUAAGUGGAAAAGGAUGUGGGGUUGCUUAGACAACCAGGAUGUUGGCUUAGAAGCAGCCACCAUUGAAAGAGUGCGUAAUAGCUCACUGGUCGAGUGACCCCGCGCCGAAAAUGUACCGGGGCUAAACAUAUUACCGAAACUGUGGAUGAACCUCUUUAGAGGUUCGUGGUAGGAGAGCGUUCUAAGGGCGGUGAAGUCAGACCGGAAGGACUGGUGGAGCGCUUAGAAGUGAGAAUGCCGGUAUGAGUAGCGAAAGAAGGGUGAGAAUCCCUUCCACCGAAUAUCUAAGGUUUCCUGAGGAAGGCUCGUCCGCUCAGGGUUAGUCGGGACCUAAGCCGAGGCCGAUAGGCGUAGGCGAUGGACAACAGGUAGAGAUUCCUGUACCAGUGCUAAUUGUUUAACCGAUGGGGUGACACAGAAGGAUAGGGAAUCGCACGAAUGGAAAUGUGCGUCCAAGCAGUGAGUGUGAGAAGUAGGCAAAUCCGCUUCUCGCGAAGCAUGAGCUGUGAUGGGGAAGGAAAUUAAGUACGGAAGUUCCUGAUUUCACGCUGUCAAGAAAAGCCUCUAGGAAGAGUAGUACUGCCCGUACCGCAAACCGACACAGGUAGAUGAGGAGAGAAUCCUAAGGUGAGCGAGAGAACUCUCGUUAAGGAACUCGGCAAAAUGACCCCGUAACUUCGGGAGAAGGGGUGCUCUAUUAGGGUGCAAGCCCGAGAGAGCCGCAGUGAAUAGGCCCAGGCGACUGUUUAGCAAAAACACAGGUCUCUGCAAAACCGUAAGGUGACGUAUAGGGGCUGACGCCUGCCCGGUGCUGGAAGGUUAAGAGGAGUGCUUAGCUUCGGCGAAGGUACGAAUUGAAGCCCCAGUAAACGGCGGCCGUAACUAUAACGGUCCUAAGGUAGCGAAAUUCCUUGUCGGGUAAGUUCCGACCCGCACGAAAGGCGCAACGAUCUGGGCACUGUCUCAACGAGAGACUCGGUGAAAUUAUAGUACCUGUGAAGAUGCAGGUUACCCGCGACAGGACGGAAAGACCCCGUGGAGCUUUACUGCAACCUGAUAUGGAAUGUUUGUACCGCUUGUACAGGAUAGGUAGGAGCCGAAGAGACGUGUGCGCUAGCAUACGAGGAGGCAAUGGUGGGAUACUACCCUGGCUGUAUGACCAUUCUAACCCGCCACGCUUAGCGCGUGGGGAGACAGUGUCAGGUGGGCAGUUUGACUGGGGCGGUCGCCUCCUAAAGAGUAACGGAGGCGCCCAAAGGUUCCCUCAGAAUGGAUGGAAAUCAUUCGCAGAGUGUAAA
rnacentral:rRNA from 1 species